rnacentral:lncRNA from 1 species
GCUUAAACAAUUGUAUUUAUUUCCACAAAGUUGUACAUUGAAGGAUACUACCACAUCCUGGUGACCACAUUGUCCCUGGUAUAAAAGGGAAAAAAGGCACAUAUUCUGACAACUGAAGUCUCCUCUCAAUGGUCUGGAGACAUUUAUUAAAAGGGACAUAGCCAGCAUGUCUUGUGGGACUAACGGGAGUGUUCUCCACUGGACUAAUGAGUAACAUGUUUAUUGGGGUCGUUCUUGCGCUCAGGGUUCAUAAACGGGUAAUUCUGAGAGAACACCUGGGUCCAAGAUUUGGUCUUGGUCUUUGGUUGGUCAGGAUCAGAGGGAUUAAGGAACUUGACAAAAAUGGGUUGGAAGGGUUCAUUGUAGUAGGGAAUCUGCUCUUGCAGACUCUGCUGUGGUGGAGGUGCUGUUGAGGCAGAUUUUUUAUCAGGGCAGCUGGUAGUUGGCAGUUCUGACGGAAUGGCCGUGGAUGAAGUCACUUCUGUAGUUGGAGCUUCAGUAGUUUGGGAGGGAUCCUUCACUGGCAUGAAAGGGUUAGAGUAUCCUGGGUACAUUAAAUAAGACUGCAUCAACUGUUGCUGCUGCUGAUUUUGUGGAGGAAGUUUAGAGGCGGUGGAUGAAGUUGCUUCUGUAGUUUGGGAGGGAUCCUUCACUGGCAUGAAAGGGUUAGAGUAUCCUUGGUGCAUUAAGUAAGACUGCAUCAACUGUUGCUGCUGCAUCAACUGUUGCUGCUGCUGAUUUUGUGGAGGAAGCUUAGAGGCAGUGGAUGAAGUUGCUUCUGCAGUAGUUGGAGCUUUAGUAGUUUGGGAGGGAUCCUUCACUGGCAUGAAAGGGUUAUAGUAUCCUGGGUGCAUGAAGUAAGACUGCACCAACUGUUGUUGCUGCAUCAACUGUUGCUGCUGCUGCUGAUUUUGUGGAGGAAGCUUAGAGGCAGUGGAUGAAGUUGCUUCUGUAGUAGUUAGAGCUGCAGUAGUUGGAGCUUCAGUAGUUUGGGAGGGGUCCUUCACUGGUAUGAAAGGGUUAGAGUACCCUGGGUGCAUGAAGUAAGACUGCAUCAACUGUUGCUGCUGCUGAUUAUGUGGAGGAAGCUUAGAGGCAGUGGAUAAAGUUGCUUCUGUAUUAGUUGGAGCUUCAGUAGUUCGUGAGGGAGCCUUCACUGGCAUGAAAGGGUUAGAGUAUCCUGGGUGCAUGAAGUAAGACUGCAUCAACUGUUGCUGCUGCAUCAACUGUUGCUGCUGCUGAUUUUGUGGAGGAAGCUUAGAGGCAGUGGAUGAAGUUGCUUCUGUAGUAGUUGGAGCUACAGUAGUUGGAGCUUCAGUAGUUUGAUAGGGAUCCUUCACUGGCAUGAAAGGAUUAGAGUAUCCUGGGUGCAUGAAGUAAGACUGCUUCAAAUGUUGCUGCUGCAUCAACUGUUGCUGCUGCUGAUUUUGUGGAGGAAGCUUAGAAGCAUUGGAUGAAGUUGCUUCUGUAGUUUGGGAGGGAUUCCUCACUGGCAUGAAGGGGUUAGAGUAUCCUGGCUGCAUGAAGUAAGACUGCAUCAACUGUUGCUGCUGCUGAUUAUGUGUUGGAAGCUUAGAGGCAGUGGAUGAAGUUGCUUCUGUAGUAGUUGGAGCUUCAGUAGUUCGGGAGGGAUUCUUCACUGGCAUGAAAGGGUUAGAGUAUCCUGUGUACAUGAAGUAGGGGUUAUUCAACUGCUGAUGCUGCUGCAUCAACUGUUGUUGCUGCUGCUGAUUUUGUGGAGGAAGCUUAGAGGCAGUGGAUGAAGUUGCUUCUGUUGGAGCAGGAGUAGGCUGAAGUGGUGGAUCCAUAGGAGAUUGUGAGGCUUGGGUUGACAUACGGCAACAAAGGGUUACUGGAUUGCUUUGCCAUAACAUCUGGAGCAAAUGGUUGCCACCCUGGAGGGAAAAUAAAUAAAUACCAAUAAGAAAAUGCA